UCUUGUUUUACUUAUUAAUUUGCAAUUUAAUUAUAUCUAUAUUGGCACAAAAUUUAACAAUACAAAAACUUGCAUUUAUUAAUAAAUACGACUCAUCAUUGUAUGAGUUGAUACGAAUUGAAAUAACCACGUGUUUCCGCUGAGGUACCUGUAAACAACAUGAUCCGAAAUCUGAACGUCAAUUUUCAUGAUUAUUUCACGACGAAGACCAUCACAUCAAUGAAUCGAAUAAUACGGACAUGCCUUUGGUAUUAGCAGGGUGCUUUCACCAUAUGCAACAAUACUUUCAUCUGUGAACAUGGUGAAUACCCACUUUCUAAGCCCACCAUGAACUACGAAGGUCAAUUAAUAUGUAAGGACACCAAUGAACAGACACUUUCCAGUUAUCGUACAUCAUAUACAUGGGUGGUCAAACUCACUGGAUGGUUUAUCAACACUCCCAUGCUCACGAACAGCCUUGCCCCAGGAAUUUUGCCCUGAAGUAACAUUGCAGUCUGUUGUCUCCUUUCUUUUUACAAACCUGGCAGCCAUGCAGGAUAGAAGCUGAUCACUUGUACUUGACUGCAAAUAAUAAUAUCUUGGACAAGUCAAAGAAUUUCCUCCAAUCUUACAGAGAAAUGGCAGUUGAUAAAAGAUUGGUGGACACAAAGUAAAAGUGCUCUUCAACAUUUUGUUGAAGAUUUCAGUCUGAUUUGGAAUUCAUCUUGCAGUAUUUCUGGAUUUGUAUAUUUGGAUAUAAGCAUCAGUUUUUCAACUUAUUGACUAAACUGUUUUGGGUUAAAUAUUGCCAAUGCUAUCUAUUAUUAUUAUUAUUUCCCUCCAAGAUAACAUGUCAAGUCUUAAUUGUACCCCUUAAGCUCUGUUAUACCAGAAAAAUCUUGUAAUGAAAUCAUUUAGUUUUUUUUUCUUGUUAGAUUACAUCCAUGAAAAUAAAGAUUAUUUUUAAUGGCAUCAAGGGAAUGGAUUUCUUGUUUCACAAAAAGAUUGUAAACAUGUUUUGCUAGGGGUUUGUAAGAAGCAGACCAGAAUUCUUUGCUUGCAAAUUUUGACGUUCGCCAU